UUUUUUUGACCGUAACAAUCUUAACUCAUUUCAUUAAUCAAAAUAGUUUCAAUACAGGAUGGUAUAUAAUCAAAGUCUUGGCGACUAGCAAAGGACAACGCCGCUCUUGCUAACAAGUGAGCAACAUUGUUGGCUUGUCUCCUGGUAAAACUUAUCCUAAAGUUUUGUAAUAAACGUAAAGAAGUUUUGCACACAGCUAACAUAGCACCAAAUUCUGUACGUAGAUUUAGUUUACCGCUAAUGCCAUCUACCACUAGUUUGCAAUCUAGUUCUAUAACAACAUUAGCAAUGCCUAAAUUUCGUAACCAAGAAAUAGCUGCUUUCAAN
rnacentral:lncRNA from 1 species